rnacentral:lncRNA from 1 species
UGCCAAAAUGUCAAUAAUUUAGAUAACACUUACAUUGAUCAUCUCCCAGCCUCACAACUGCACUCUAUGUGAGCAUUAUUCAGUGCCUCGAAGGGCAAUAUUGAUCAUUUCAUGGUUGCCCAAAUUAACCAAUAUCCAUAAGGAUGCAAACUACUGACUGAUUACAAACUGAUUUGAUUCUAGUCUGACUCACUUAGACUAACACAAUGUUCAAUGUUGACAGUACAAGUACAGAUUAACUAGCGAAACAGUCACAAGUUAACAAGAUGCAUCAUCCGAUUUGGUCACAAGUUAAAUAAGUUACUUCACUCCAUCUUUGAUUAAAAACAUAAACUGAUCGACCCAAAAUUCAGUGACAACUUCCUGUAUUUCACCAUCUUUCCCACUGUCUGGAGGACACCGAGAUAACGAACAUGACGAGGCUUAGUAUGAACAACAGCAGGAGACUGCCCAUGCUUGCCUUUCCCUGCAGACAGAUGACAGUAUAGUAAAAUUUAUACAUAAUCAUAUAAUAACAGAGGUGAAGUAAAGUGUAUCUAGAACACAAGGACCACUCUAUUUCAGUUUGGAAAUUAUAUUUGCUGAAAAGCAAGAGCAGGAACAUUCUUACUAUUGCAGAACUACAAUACAUGCUCAAAAACAAAGCACUACAUAAAAGGAAUAGGCUCUAUCUUGUACUGUUUUGACUGCUUGGUACUGCCUAAGUAGUACUGCAGAAGUUCAGAUGCAUACUCACAUAGAAACGUAAUAUAACAUGUAUCCGUAUUUUGCCACCCUUUUUUCUUUGUUUGCGUAUAUAUCUUGAUCCAUAAGAUAGAAGCUUGUGUUAAUUAUGAACUUCAUUGCUACUACAUGCCACCACUCAGAUGAUGACCACAAGGAUAAUGCGUGAAAAGGAAAAUGAAAUAUAUAUAAAGAGCUCUUUCCUAAAAGGUGUAAAGCUAAUCUCGCAAACCUCAUCAGAAGGAAAAUUCAGAUUCAGACAAAUGAUGAAGCACUGUGAAACAUCAUUUCUCAAGCGGAUGACAAACUAGAACUAUGCAACAACUAUGGACCUGAUGGAUUCCUACCGUAUCUAGACAUAACAGAAAGAUGCAACAAUAGUACACUGCCCAAGCUUUUCGAGGAUAUAUAGUGGUAAGAAAAUAUGCAGAGCAGAUGACAUAGAAAGGGUCUAUCAGAAAUUAUGAUGUAACUACUACAUGACAGGAAAACCAUAGAAACAUAACAACCGACAGAUAUAUCGUAAGGCCUAACUAGCAAAGAAAUAAUGAAAUAAAAUCUACCAAGCGACUACAGCCAGACACAAAUGGCUGGUAUUUACAAUGAAAAGACAUAUGUGAAUGUAAAUGCAGAGUCAUACAGAAAAAAGAUCUAUGUCAGUAUAAUUAUGAAAAAAAGAAUGCUAUCUCCAAGACCAAUUGUACAUAAUAGGACCUCCAUGAAAUCCUACCUCUAGGUACCUCUAGGCAACUCGGCCAUUUCACUCCGAAGCCACAUGACAGUGAUUUC